UACGGAGGGUGCAAACGUUGCUCGGAAUCAUUGGGCGUAAAGCGCACGUAGGCGGCCUGAUAAGUCGGGUGUGAAAGCCCUGGGCCCAACCCAGGAAGUGCACUCGAAACUGUCAGGCUUGAAUAUGGAAGAGGGUCGCGGAAUUCCCGGUGUAGAGGUGAAAUUCGUAGAUAUCGGGAGGAACACCAGUGGCGAAGGCGGCGACCUGGGCCAAUAUUGACGCUGAGGUGCGAAAGCGUGGGGAGCAAACAGG
rnacentral:rRNA from 1 species